GAAACAACGCUGGCGGCGUGCCUAACACAUGCAAGUCGAACGAGAAAGGGACUUCGGUCCUGAGUACAGUGGCGCACGGGUGAGUAACACGUGACUAACCUACCCUUGAGUGGGGGAGUAACUUCGGGAAACCGAGGCUAAUACCGCAUAAUACCUACGGGUCAAAGGAGCAAUUCGCUUUAGGAGGGGUCGCGGCGAGAUUAGUUAGUUGGCGGGGUAA
rnacentral:rRNA from 1 species